CAUCACUUGUGCAUGUGCAACACAUUGGCGGAGGCAAUACGAACUGCAUUUCUCACUAGCUGGACAAGUCGGAAUGGCAAUACACCUUGGAGAACAAGACUCGAAUUGUGAAAGUCUGGUGGUUUCACAGAACUUUGUUUUAUGUCAAGAUGGGCUGACACCAUGUCACCUGAUGCUGUCACUCUCUGGUAAGCAUGUUAAAAAAAUAAAAACAAUCCACUUUGAACAGUAAGGAGUAGUGUUUAUUUUAUUCAAAAUAGAAAUGUGGGCCCCUUAACGGUGAACUGCACCUCUACCGCGGGUCGGCCUGGUAUUGCACUACCUAUGGGAUUGGCCCAUGUGUGGGGAGUGCUUAAAGCCUGCUUCAUCUCCGCCGCAGGUUUGACUGGCAUUUCACGACCUUCAGGAUCAGCCCACAUAUGGGGAGUGCUUAAUGCUUGCUUCACUUCUGCCUCGGGUUGGCCUGGUAUUGCACUUUCUUCGGGAUCGGCCCACCGUAUGAAAAAUUGUUGGUCUAUGCG